UACGUAGGGGGCAAGCGUUGUCCGGAAUCAUUGGGCGUAAAGCGCGUGUAGGCGGUCCGGUAAGUCCGCUGUGAAAGUCGGGGGCUCAACCCUCGGAUGCCGGUGAAUACUGUCGGGCUUGAGUACGGAAGAGGAGAAUGGAAUUCCUGGUGUAGCGGUGAAAUGCGCAGAUAUCAGGAGGAACACCAAUGGCGAAGGCAGCUCGCUGGGACGGUACUGACGCUGAGGCGCGAAAGCGUGGGGAGCAAACAGG
rnacentral:rRNA from 1 species